rnacentral:rRNA from 1 species
CAACAUCGAGGGCGCAAGCUGUGACAUCGAUAAGAACUCUCCGAAAAGAAUUACGCUGUUAUCCCUAAGGUAAGUUAAUCUUAUAAUCAAAAAUGGGGGAUCAAAAAAACAUAAAUUAAUGAAAAAAAUAUUAAAAGUUAAAUAAAUUUUAAUGUCACCCCAACAAAACUUUACAUUCUAAAAAAUAGUUUAGUAAACAAAAAACAAUAAUUAAUAAAUAAAGUAAACUUCUAUAGGGUCUUCUCGUCCUAUAAAAAAAUUUUAGCUUUUUAACUAAAAGAUUAAAUUCAAAAUAAUUAAAAAAAGAAAGUUUAUUUUUCAUCAAACCAUUCAUACUAGCCUUCAAUUAAAAGACAAAUGAUUAUGCUACCUUCGUACAG